rnacentral:rRNA from 1 species
GGAUCCCCAAACCAGCGACGAGAUCAAAUCGGUGCUGAAUGCAACGGCGUCGGUGCGUGCGAUUGCCAAUGUGGUGAAUGUCGAGGCGACCUCGUUUGAUGUGCUGAUCGACUCGACCGAAGUGGGCGCGGGCUGGGCUGAUGAGACCACAACGACCGCGGAAACCGGUACGCCGACGAUUGAGCGCAUCACCAUACCGCUGCACGAGUUGUCGGCGCUGCCCAAGGCGUCGCAACGUCUGUUGGAUGACAGCGCGUUUGAUAUCGAAAGCUGGCUAGCGGGUCGCAUCGCCGACAAAUUCGCCCGUGCCGAGGCGGCGGCGUUCGUGAACGGAGACGGCAUCGACAAGCCGACCGGUUUCCUGACCCAUCCGGAUGUGGCGAAUGCGUCCUGGGCCUGGGGGCAGCUGGGUUAUGUGGCGACCGGUGUGGAUGCUGGAUUUAACGGCGGCGAUGCGCUGAUUGAUCUGGUCUAUGCCUUGGGGGCGGAAUAUCGCGCGGGUGCGACGUUUGUCAUGAACUCGAAAACCGCCGGCGCGGUGCGAAAGCUGAAGGACAAUGAUGGUCGUUUCCUGUGGUCGGAUGGUCUGGCCGCUGGUGAGCCUGCGCGUCUGCUGGGCUAUCCGGUGCUGAUUGCCGAGGAUAUGCCGGACAUUGCCUCGGGGGCGAAUGCGAUUGCGUUCGGUGACUUUGGCGCGGGCUAUACCGUGGCCGAACGCCCCGACCUGCGGGUGCUGCGUGACCCGUUUUCGGCAAAACCGCACGUCCUGUUCUA